rnacentral:rRNA from 1 species
GGACAGAUGGGAGCUUGCUCCCUGAUGUUAGCGGCGGACGGGUGAGUAACACGUGGGUAACCUGCCUGUAAGACUGGGAUAACUCCGGGAAACCGGGGCUAAUACCGGAUGGUUGUUUGAACCGCAUGGUUCAAACAUAAAAGGUGGCUUCGGCUACCACUUACAGAUGGACCCGCGGCGCAUUAGCUAGUUGGUGAGGUAACGGCUCACCAAGGCAACGAUGCGUAGCCGACCUGAGAGGGUGAUCGGCCACACUGGGACUGAGACACGGCCCAGACUCCUACGGGAGGCAGCAGUAGGGAAUCUUCCGCAAUGGACGAAAGUCUGACGGAGCAACGCCGCGUGAGUGAUGAAGGUUUUCGGAUCGUAAAGCUCUGUUGUUAGGGAAGAACAAGUACCGUUCGAAUAGGGCGGUACCUUGACGGUACCUAACCAGAAAGCCACGGCUAACUACGUGCCAGCAGCCGCGGUAAUACGUAGGUGGCAAGCGUUGUCCGGAAUUAUUGGGCGUAAAGGGCUCGCAGGCGGUUUCUUAAGUCUGAU